UGCAUCACCUCCAAAAUAGGGUACCGUAGAGCCCAAAAUGAGGACUAAAAUAAGGGAUGGACAACUUAUCCAGCAUGGUCAAACCAGCGUUUCCAAGAGGAGAAACGCUGGGUCGGAUAAACUUAACCAAUUUGAAAAUGGACUAUCUCAAACCGAGGGUCCUAAUCCUAAAAUUGAUAUUUGGAAUACUUACCUGUUUGGAUUUAAAAACAAGAGCUGACGUCAUCGCAAAAGGAUGGUGAAGGACCGCCUCCCCAAAAAACUAAGAUCAGCCAUUGGAUCAUUGACCCGGAAGCGUAGUCACGUGGUCUAAAAAUAAAAGUAGGCGGAGACUCGGCCGCCCCCACCAUUUUGCCCAGCUGCUCGACGAGAGAGAAAAACAUCUCCUUAGCCGCUGAAGCCAACAUAAACAGGAACCAGUAUCAAUGACCGUGAUCCUGACUUGUCGACAGAAGACGAUGCAUUCGUAAGGAUAAAAGUGCCUUCCGGUCCAACCUAUUUUUUAGUUGACCAAUAGGACUGGGCCUCAUUACAGAAAUUGAGAAAACCCAGAGGAUUCAAGGGCCUUGACUGGCAUUAUUUCCAAAGGAAUUCGAUCCAUCCAUCCAUACUGUUCAAUAGCUUUCAAAAGACAGAACUAAGACACUUGGCUCAAUAAGACAAGACCUGGAAUUUUGGUGUCUGUGUUACUGUCAAUUUGAGAACUGUCCUGUUGAAGUCACCGUCACAAUAGAUAGCAAAGGAUUUUUUUAAGACACUGUACAUUUCAAGGGUGGUAUGAGCAUCCACAAUCGCAUUGAACUAAAGUCAAGACCUGUGAGAGGAAGAGAAAGGGAUUCACUGGGGCAAAAAUUACAAAAAGAAUUGCCCAGAUCUCUCUACUUAAGAAACCUUCUGAAAUUGGACGAAGCAGUCAUGGAAUCAGGCUGCAGAGAUGAGGCACUCACACCUCCUGUAUUGAAAACCAUUUCAUGGGAAAAGAGGCAAAGUCAUCUGCACAACAAUGAGCUGUUAAGUUUGCAUUUCAUGGUGGAAAGAAAGACUUAAGCCAGAUGUGCUCCAAAAAGUAUUUUUAUUCCCCAAAGGUGUACUGUAUUGACAUUUAUCGUGACAGGACCAGAGAAGACAUCCUCUAUUUGGACGCCACUGGCAGCAUCAUAAAGAAGGAAAAAUGCUCCCCACCAUUCUAUGUGUAUGAGCUUGUUGUGAAGAAUUCAUUGAAAAACUCCUCACCCUUCCCUACUUGACUUGUGAACACACCACUGCCUCGGUCAAGUAUUUUCUUGACACGUUUCAAGGAUGUAUGGACAGAGAGCGAUGCAGGCACCAGUCAUGCUUCUAUUGUGCUAAUGCAAGCACUGUGUCUUUCAUUUAUAAAGACCAAUUUGAAUAGCACCAUUGAACAUUACUACUCUAUAGUUUGUGGAAAGGGGACAUCCACAGAUUUUGAAGUACCUAUCCUACACUGUUGCUUGAGGCAUUUGAUGAAGAAUGCCAAGGACAUUUGCAGAAAAUAUUACUAUUUUCAUUAGUAAUUUGAACAAUGUCAUCCAUAUUUGUUAACUGGUUGCUAAUUUUAUCAAUAAAUCUUAUAAAUAUC